GUCAACACAACUGGUACAUUCAACGGAAGGAAUUAUAACGGAAAUAUUUGAUAACAACAACACCUGCUACAGUGGUGUGUGUAAUUUUAACCUUGAAAACAGCGCAAAUUGCACAAAUGUAUCAAAUUCCCAAAUUCCAUACAUAAAUAUCAAUUGAAUAAUGCCAAACAUGUGAUUACUUAAAUCAGAUCUUCGAUUAACAGUAAUAAUCUGCGAAUAAUGUGUGGCACGUGAUUUGAAGGCAAAAGCAAGAAAUGUGCGAAAUAAAAGCGAUGCUUCACGUAAGAAAGUGUUUGCUCCGGAGUGAUAUUAUUACUUAAAACAACUAUAUUCCGGCGGAGAGUCAAUUUCAGUGCAAAAACGUGCAAUUAAAUUUGUCAAUGGAUAUAUUUCAACAAAACCUAAAGUGUUAAAUAUGUUCGAGAAGAGUGCAUACUAAGGAUACAUAGUUGUAAAUUUUCAAAGAAGCUGAAGUGAAAAAGAUAACUAAUUAUAUUAAAGUAUAGAAAUAAAGUAUAGAAUGAAAUAAUACCACAUCAGCGCUUAUUUAGUCAUAAAUAAAAAUACAUACAUUAAAUUGACUGUUUGUAACCACACCAAAUAAAUGGUUUCGUAAAUAUUCUUUACGCGUCCUUUUAACUAAUAAAUCGUGUCUUCCGUGGAUCCACCAAAAGCUGUUC